rnacentral:rRNA from 1 species
AUACGUAGGGUGCAAGCGUUAAUCGGAAUUACUGGGCGUAAAGCGUGCGCAGGCGGUUCGGAAAGAAGGAUGUGAAAUCCCAGGGCUCAACCUUGGAACUGCAUUCUUAACUACCGAACUAGAGUAUGUCAGAGGGGGGUAGAAUUCCGCGUGUAGCAGUGAAAUGCGUAGAUAUGCGGAGGAAUACCGAUGGCGAAGGCAGCCCCCUGGGAUAAUACUGACGCUCAUGCACGAAAGCGUGGGUAGCAAACAGGAUUAUAUACCCUGGUAGUCCACGCCCUAAACGAUGUCAACUAGCUGUUGGGCCCUUCGGGGCUUAGUAGCGUAGCUAACGCGUGAAGUUGACCGCCUGGGGAGUACGGUCGCAAGAUUAAAACUCAAAUGAAUUGACGGGG